CCUACGGGAGGCAGCAGUGAGGAAUAUUGGUCAAUGGACGCAAGUCUGAACCAGCCAAGUAGCGUGCAGGAUGACGGCCCUCCGGGUUGUAAACUGCUUUUAGUUGGGAAUAAAAGGGGGCUCGUGAGCCCCGUAUUGUAUGUACCAUCAGACAAAGGACCGGCUAAUUCCGUGCCAGCAGCCGCGGUAAUACGGAAGUUCCGGGCGUUAUCCGGAUUUAUUGGGUUUAAAGGGAGCGUAGGCGGGCUUUUAAGUCAGCUGUGAAAGUCCGCGGCUCAACCGUGGAAUUGCAGUUGAAACUGGAGGCCUUGAGUGCAGACAGGGAUGCCGGAAUUCGUGGUGUAGCGGUGAAAUGCUUAGAUAUCACGAAGAACUCCGAUGGCGAAGGCAGUUCACUGGACUGCAACUGACACUGAGGCUCGAAAGUGUGGGUAUCAAACAGGAUUAGAUACCCUUGUAGUC
rnacentral:rRNA from 1 species